rnacentral:rRNA from 1 species
CCUACGGGUGGCAGCAGUCGAGAAUCAUUCACAAUGGGGGCAACCCUGAUGCUGCGACGCCGCGUGAGGGAAUGAAGCUCUCCGGAUGGUAAACCCCUUUCAUGUGGGAGAAAAUAGUAAAGAUAGUACCACAAGAGGAAGAGACGACGAACUCUGUGCCAGCAGCCGCGCUAAGACAGAGGUCUCAAGCGUUGUUCGGAAUCACUGGGCGUAAAGGGUGCGGAGGCUGGUUGGUAAGGCGUGUGCGAAAGGCGCGGGCUCAACCCGCGGACGGCAUAUGAUACUGGGAGACUUGAGUAAUGGAGAGGGAGGCGGAAUUCCAGGUGUAGCAGUGAAAUGCGUAGAUAUCGGGAGGAACACUCGUGGCGAAGGCGGGUUCCUGGACAUUAACGGACGCUGAGGCGCGAAAGCCUGGGGAGCGAACGGGAUUAGAUACCCCAGUAGUC